CGACAUUUGUGCUGUGUAUGGAGACAGUGCCAUAGCUGAAAGAACCACUCGUGAUUGGUAUGCCAAGUUCAAAAAUGGGAAUUUUGACCUCAAAGAUGCACCUCGUUCUGGCUGUCCAGUUGAGUUUGAUGAAGAGCAAUUAAACCAUCUUUUGCAUGAAAAGUCUCGUCACACGGCAAGGAAACUGGCAGAGAAAAUGGAAUGCUCUCACACUGCUAUAGAGAAGCAUCUUCACUCAAUGGGAAAGGUUCAGAAGUAUGGAGCAUGGGUUCUGCAUGCUUUAAGUGACAACAACAAAAAUCAACGAGGCACAAUCUCCGCUGGUUUGCUUGCGCAACACCACUCAACUCACGGACACAAGCAACGGUUUCUUUACUGAAUCAUUACCGGCAACGAAAAAUGGUGCCUGUACAUCAAUAUGAAGCAGCAUAUGGAAUGGCUUAGCCCCAGUAAAAAAGCGACACCAUGCGUGAAACAAUAUCUUCAUCUGCGUAAAACGAUGUUGUGCGUACGGUGGGACUGAGAAGGGAUGAUCCAUUACGAAUUGUUUGUACCAAAUGGUCAAUGCGGAACUCUAUGUUCAACAGAUGGAAUGACUCAACACGGCUAUUCAAGAGAAAAGACCUAAUCGGCAGCAUGGAGUUCUUCUGCUGCACGACAACGCCUACCCUCAUAUCGCCAAUAUGACCAAGGAAGCCAUUCAAAUGCAUCGCUGGGAAGUGCUGCCACACCUGUUGUACUCUCCUAAUUUGGCACUAACAGAUUUCCACCUCUUUCGAUCUCUUCCAAAUGCUAUGUGCGGAGUUUCGUUCAAUACUGAUGCAGAAUUGAGAGCUUGGUUGGAUCAAUUUUUCGAGUCGAAAUCAGGUGAUUUCUACCAACGAGGUAUUGAAAAUCUUGUUGAAUGUUGGGAAGAAGUUGUAAAUAACAAGGGCAGAAAAAGCAUUCACCAGUGCUAAAGGAGACACUUUGAAAAACAAACCACAUACCAGUUGGCUUUCACUUCUGUGUUCAGUUUCAGAUUUGUCCUCCUAAGACAACCAAUCAAAUUCCCAAGUUCAUGAUGGUCAGUCAGGAGUGAGCUAAGAUAGCAGCACACUAUGACGUGUGGAUUUCCAUUGUUUGGGUUCAGAGAUGGUGGUGUGCAUGAAAAGGUAAGCAUCAACAUUACGUCCGGAGACAAUAAAAAGUUGUGAUGCAAAGCUGAUGACUACAGGCUCUGUGAACAAUGGAAGAAGAAGUGGCCGUCCAACCACAUUCCCAAUCAGUGGAGAACAUGGCAACAGUGCAGGAAAUGUUUAAUCACAGCCCGCAAACAUCAACACAUCAAGCAACUCAUGAAAGUGGACUAACAAGAUAUACAAUACAUAUGGUGUUGCAUAAAGAAUUGAAUUUUCAUCCGUGCAGGAGUUAAAAUCUGAAGACCAUGACCGCAGAAGUCCAGUAGUCCAGAACUCCAAGAAGUCCAGAUCUCACUCCAUGUGAUUUUUGCCUGUGGGGUUACACAAAAAAGGUGUACAAGACAAAACCUCACACACUGGAGGACUUGGAGACACAGAUUCAGGAGGUUCUCAAUGAUAUCCUAGACGACGUCCUUCAGAAUGUUGUUCAUUCCAUCCCUGGUCACUUGAGGAAACUGGUUGACGCCACCGGUGCUUACGUUGAGAUAUGAAGAUUUACCUUCAUUUUCCCAUGUAAUAAAG